UCCCGGCUCAGAACGAACGCUGGCGGCACGCCUAACACAUGCAAGUCGAACGAAGUCUUCGGACUUAGUGGCGCACGGGUGCGUAACGCGUGGGAAUCUGCCCUUGGGUGCGGAAUAACUUCUCGAAAGGGAUGCUAAUACCGCAUAAUGUCGUAAGACCAAAGAUUUAUCGCCCAAGGAUGAGCCCGCGUAAGAUUAGCUAGUUGGUGGGGUAAAAGCCUACCAAGGCGACGAUCCGUAACUGGUCUGAGAGGAUGAUCAGUCACACCGGAACUGAGACACGGUCCGGACUCCUACGGGAGGCAGCAGUGGGGAAUAUUGGACAAUGGGCGAAAGCCUGAUCCAGCAAUACCGCGUGUGUGAAGAAGGCCUUCGGGUUGUAAAGCACUUUAAGUUGGGAAGAAAAAGCUUCACCUAAUACGUGAAGCCUUGACGGUACCGACAGAAUAAGCACCGGCUAACUCCGUG
rnacentral:rRNA from 1 species